UCUUGUCCGAUUGGCAGCUUCCCUCUCCCACCCACACUCCAGCAGGGAGAAGUUCCGGCUCCAAUAACAAGUCCGGGAGNCAACGUAGAGCAGAAGGCUCUGCAUCUAAAAGAGUGUUGGCAAAAUCUUCCGGAGCUACUAUUUGAUACAGUUAUCCUUCACUAGAUUAUCAGGAGGUAACUUGCGUUGGGACUGGGAACAGCACUAAAGAUAGUAAUGUAAAUCAGCUGCAACCUUUUGUUUUGGCGGACACCAAGCAGUGCCAAGUUACUGUUCAUGCAAAUGGAACACCUCCUUCAAAACCGAACACUGUGAAAUAUACAUACAGUUAUGAUNUAGAUUUUGUUUUGGGUGACAGCUCUCAUAAAGGUUUAGGUUUCCCUUCUGAA